rnacentral:RNase_P_RNA from 1 species
GCCCAUACGAGAGUCUCGUUAACUCUUUCGACCCUGAGCAUAUGGGAAGGUCUGAGGCGCCUCUAACCAGAGAUUAGCGGGAGGGAACUCUCGGAAGAGCGAACAGAAACCAAUCACGGGCCGGCCUGUCGAGGAUAGCCGCGAGGCAGGAGACACUAGGCUGGCUUGGCGACUGAGAAGCUCCGCGGCGUCGAUUUUAAGUACAAUAGGCAAGGCGGCUGGGACCAGCAGUGUCUGUCCCCAAUCAACCGUAACUCAAUUCAGACUACUCUCCU